AAGAGGGUUAAGUGCACGUGGUGCAAAACUCAAGGACCUGCAUAAGGUCUCCAGUUCGAGCCCUUGGGUCCCCACCUGCAGGUCAACUAGGAAUAGCAAGGGAGAAUACCUGAGGCUGAAACAAGACAGGACUGGAACAACUUUAGGAACCCACCAAACCACCAGUUUUGGGACUUUGUUAGGAAGUGACCCACCUGGAAUGGAAUUUGAGAAUACUAUGAAGAGAAAGAUCUCACCCAAGUAAUGAAGCUGAAGGG